rnacentral:rRNA from 1 species
CCAACCGGGAUUACCUCAGUAACGGCGAGUGAAGCGGUAACAGCUCAAAUUUGAAAUCUGGCUCCUGCGGAGUCCGAGUUGUAAUUUGUAGAAGAUGCUUUGGGAGGUAGGACCGGCCUAAGUUCCUUGGAACAGGACAUCAGAGAGGGUGAGAAUCCCGUAUGCGGCCGAGGCCUAUGCCCGUGUAAAGCUCUUUCGACGAGUCGAGUUGUUUGGGAAUGCAGCUCAAAAUGGGUGGUAAAUUUCAUCUAAAGCUAAAUAUUGGCCAGAGACCGAUAGCGCACAAGUAGAGUGAUCGAAAGAUGAAAAGCACUUUGGAAAGAGAGUUAAACAGUACGUGAAAUUGUUGAAAGGGAAGCGCUUGCACCCAGACUUGGGCGUCGUCGAUCAUCCGAGGUUCUCCUCGGUGCACUCGGCGAUGCGCAGGCCAGCAUCGGUUUGGGUGGUUGGAGAAAGGCCUCUAGGAACGUAGCUCUCUUCGGGGAGUGUUAUAGCCUAGGGCGUAAUGCAGCCCAUCCGGACCGAGGACCGCGCCUUUGGGCUAGGAUGCUGGCGUAAUGGUUGCAAGCGACCCGUCUUGAAACACGGACCAAGGAGUCUAACAUCUAUGCGAGUGUUUGGGCGUUAAACCCAUACGCGGAAUGAAAGUGAACGUAGGUG